rnacentral:rRNA from 1 species
CAUGAGUGUAUAUUAGAUUUGUUGUAGUUAAAAAGCUCGUAGUCGGAAAUAAGAAUAUUUUGAUAAUGAAAGCGGACGUUGUUAUGACGAAAUGUCGUUUCAGCGUCACUUUCAAUUUCGAUAUUCUUUUAACGGGAAAUUAGAUCCGUGCUUGCACGCCUAUUUUCCCUUUUUACUUUGAAAAAAUUAGAGUGUUUAAAGCAAGGAGUUUUCAAUCAAGAAAACAUUCUUAAACCUUUUGAAUAAUUUAGCAUGGGAUAAUAGAACAAGACCUUUUUUUGAUUUUAUUGGUUCUGCAAAGUUUUAUUGGUAAUGAUUAAGAGGGACAGUUGGGGAUAUUUGUAUUUCACAGCUAGAGGUGAAAUUCUUGGAUUUGUGAAGGACAAACUUCUGCGAAAGCAUUUAUCAAGGAUGUUUUCAUUGA